CUGAUGGCGACCGGCGCACGGGUGAGUAACGCGUAUCCAACCUGCCCUUUACUAUGGGACAGCCCGUCGAAAGGCGGAUUAAUACCGUAUGUUGUCAUGUUGAUGCAUAUUUUCAUGACCAAAGGCUUCGGCCGGUAAAGGAUGGGGAUGCGUCUGAUUAGCUUGCCGGCGGGGUAACGGCCCACCGGGGCGACGAUCAGUAGGGGUUCUGAGAGGAAGGUCCCCCACAUUGGAACUGAGACACGGUCCAAACUCCUACGGGAGGCAGCAG
rnacentral:rRNA from 1 species